GGGGAUGAUCGGUUUCGACGGUGUUUGCCGCGAAAGGGGAAGCGGGCCGAGGAUGCAGAGUUAUCUCGCUAACGCUCUCUGCAAAAAAUAAGUGCCAAACCUAUGCGCACUGACUUCGCCCUUGCUGCCUAAGCAGUAAGGCACAGUCCGUCAGCCCGGAGUUGCUCUCGCUCCGGCAGCUGGCGUCGUUUAGAGGGCCACUGCUGAACACCUCCGCCGUUGGGGUGUUCAGGACACUUUAACGGCUGGGCCCGGAUCAGCCGCACGUCUGCAGGACGGCUGGGGCCAAGAAAAUCCGACGCAGACUGCGCCCGGAGAAGCCCUUUCAACUCAACAUCGGACGGGGGUUCGAUUCCCCCCAUCUCCACAC
rnacentral:tmRNA from 1 species